rnacentral:rRNA from 1 species
AUUGAACGCUGGCGGCAUGCCUUACACAUGCAAGUCGAACGGCAGCACGGGAGCAAUCCUGGUGGCGAGUGGCGAACGGGUGAGUAAUAUAUCGGAACGUGCCCAGUCGUGGGGAUAACGUAGCGAAAGCUACGCUAAUACCGCAUACGAUCUAUGGAUGAAAGCGGGGGAUCGCAAGACCUCGCGCGAUUGGAGCGGCCGAUAUCAGAUUAGGUAGUUGGUGAGGUAAAGGCUCACCAAGCCGACGAUCUGUAGCUGGUCUGAGAGGACGACCAGCCACACUGGGACUGAGACACGGCCCAGACUCCUACGGGAGGCAGCAGUGGGGAAUUUUGGGACAAUGGGCGCAAGCCUGAUCCAGCAAUGCCGCGUGCAGGAUGAAGGCCUCGGUUGU